rnacentral:lncRNA from 1 species
CCAACAUCUGUACACCCAGCAAUAACUGAAUAACUGAGCUAUAUAUGAAAAGGACUGCAGAUCACCUAAUGUAUCUCAUGAAAUCCAAAGUAAAUGUAGACCAUCUCAUCUUCCCACUAGUCAAAUCUCCAAAAUGACCAUCGUCACUCCAGUGGCACCAAUAUGAGAAGUUGGAAAAAGUCAAGUUAAUUAAUAAAAAAUAGUAUUCUUUCUGGAUUUUUUUAUGUUUGUUUUAUUUGUCAGCAUUUCCAACUUUAUAAUUUGUAGUGAUUUUUUUCUCAUUGUCAAUAUUUUCAUUCUUAAUUUUAUAUUCAUAGUUUGUAUUAUUUUUCCUAAAGAGGAUCCAAAAUGGCAUCAGUUUCAGGCCCCAAGAAAAAUGUACCCAGGCCAGGUGCAGUGGUUCACGCCUGUAAUCCCAGCACUUUGGGAGGCCAAGGAAGGAGGACUGCUAGAGCGCAGGAGUUUGAGACCAGCCUGGGCAACACAGGGAGGCCUUGUCUCUACAAAAAAUGUAAAAAACUAGCCGGGCAUGGUGGCAGGCGCCUGUGGUCCCAGCUACUCAGGAGGCUAAGGUGGGAGGAUUGCUUGAGCCAGGGAGGUGGAGGCUGAAGUUAGCCAUGAUUGUGCCACUGUACUACAGCCUGGGCGACAGAGUGAGACCCUAUCUCUGAAUGAAUGAAUGAAUGAAUGAAUGAAUAAAUAGUCUUGAAAAUGGAUCCAUUCUUGACUGAGAGAGUUUACCCCUCACAGACAUCAGUGAAAAGCCACUAAAAGGGGGAUCUUCAGAAAGAAGUUGAACCUAAAAAGAAGACGGGGGAUACAAGAAACAAUGAAAUAAAUAUUAACUGAAUAAUAAUCAAAAGCAUACCUCAUUGCCCUGGCUAUGCAACAUAGUAUGGCCUUCUAGAUCCUACGAUCUCACCUUUGCUCACCGCCAGCUUUAACCGUCACCAUCCCUACUCGCCACUUACUAGCAAGCAGCCCAGGAAUAUUUGCUAAAUAAAUCAAUAGACAACAAACUGAGAGUUGAACUCAAACCUUUUGCUUUCUAGCCCUGUUGUUUCAACUAGUGCAGUCCACUUCCCUGCCUCAGCAGGCACGGUGGAGUAAGGACUGCACAGUCUUUUUCUGAUGACUGGUCCUUUCCUUAUGUCAUCUUAGGGUAUAGAAGACUCCAUAGACAUGGCUGGUGCCCUUCCCAAAUCCCCUCAGCCUACCCUGGAAGUGGCCUCUGGAAAGUUCUACAUCUCUUCUGCCUGAAGAUGUUCCCUGAUUGGCAGUGUACUUGGAAGUGCCCAGGAGUUAAGAUGCCAAGAUAAACCCUCAACCAUUAAGAGCCAGCUUCCUUGUCCCUCAGUGGGACAAUCACGGGCAUAUUCCACUGUUCCUCCUCUUAGAGGGUCCCCAGCAGGAUUGAGGUCCAGUCGCUCAGGGUCAUCUCCCCACUGAGUUGCUUCCUGGGCUCGCCGCUCGACUAAACUGUUUGCACUCAAAUCCUUAUCUCAGUGUCUGCUGAGAUGACACAGGGCCAUUAUUCCAAUCACUGCCUGUGCUGACACAGCAGUGUAGGUGUGGAAGGUGCAAGAUUGGACCGAUUUUUUCUUUGACCCCAGGAUACAGUUCUGGAAGACAGUGGUUUGGGGAAAAAAAAGACAUUCCUGAAAUAUGUGAAUUCUGACAGAAUAAAUCUUUCUCCUAAAAGUUUCAGAUGCGUCAGCCUCUAUGCUGCAACACUGAAAGAGGAGCGUCUUAAAAGCAGAAGAGUUGAGGGGCAAAUUCAGAGGGAGAGGAGCAUUGAAAAAUGCAAUCUUGGCUACCAGACGUUUUGCUGGAGUGAAUAACAUAGGAAAGUGCUUCUCUGGCUAAUGCAUUGGUCAGUGUCUUCCGUUUCACGUGGUCUGUGAGCUAGGGAGGCUGUCAGAGACUCUUAGGCUGUGACCAGCUUCCAGGGAGCUUAGGAAACCUGCUUCUGGUGCCUAUAUAGAUCCUGAGUAUUUGAACACAGCUGGGACCACUUCAGGCUGUCCCUAUUCUCUGAUUCAUCAAUGCAGAGGCAGGGAUACUGGAAAGAAGUCUCAUCUCCAAGAAAGGAGACCAGAGUGGUCUUCAUCAUUGCCUGGUUUGCAUCCUGCUCAUCCUGGGGAGAAAGACUACUGCUCAACCUCUCCCUAGACCCUUCCCAGGGCCCUGGAAGCUGGGUCAACUGGCCAGAAGCAAACCAUUCCUGCAGGAGACACCACCCUUAGGGGUAGGAGCUCAGCCAGAUGCUUGGCAGCUUCCCAGAUUGUAAAUAUCUCUGCAUUUUAUAGGAGGCUUCAGACUCCAAAUUAUAGCGAUGAAAAAGGAGAAUCUUGAAAGCAGAACAGUUUAUACACAGAUCCAGAUAGAGAGGAAAGGAGAGUCCACCUCUGGACUUGGUUGUCUGGUGAAAGGGAGGCAGACUCGUGAAGAGGUUUCCAGAGAUGACGGAAGUAUGCAGAUGGUAAAGCCAUCAGGGAGAGGCAGUGCCGGGAUCAGCACAAUGGGUGCCCUUGUGCACUGUUUGGGGAUUUUUGUGUUUGUAUGUUUGCAAUCCCUGUCCCCCCUACAACCCCAAGCUGGGAUCUGCUAAGAAAAAGAACCUGGCUUGCAGCAGCAUUCUUCAGCUCCACUUGAAAGUUUGAAAAACCCCUGGAUAGGAAAAUAACCUCAGGGAGCCAAGUCUUUCUGCACUUGGCGAAGCCCUAGACCUAAAAUACACAUAUGAACACUUCACUUUGAAAGGCCUGCAGUAUUCAUAUCUGAGUCAUCUGAAAACAAAUAAAAAGAGACCUAAACAAACAAACCUAAUUGUGCACGGAAACACAGCCAGGUUUCCAGCCUGGCUUCUCCUCUGUUUUUAUUAGUCAAGAGCCAAUAUAUGAGGCUUUCGUGGCAUCCAAAACAAGCAAAAAUAUUAAAAACAAAUUGCCAAGGCUUCUCCCUCUUCCCUCCUUCCUUUAUGAUGCACUGCACAAGCCAAGUUCUCGACUUUUCUGCAUUGGCUUUCGAACCUCUUUCAUUUAGUCCUGAUAGACAGCUGCCUGCUUACCCGGCUGUCCAGGGGAAACAGCAACCCUGGGUGACGGUGACAUCCGUAAACAUCAGCACUUACUGGACACUUUGAUGAAAUUUAAGGAGAUGUGUUUCAGGUCUUGAAAUGUUAUUGUUUUUACCAUUAAUCAAGGCAACCGGUUUGAGAACUAAGCCUGCCGACCCGAGUUCACUUAGGACAGACCUGCUCAUUGCCCUCUGCCAGCAUCCUACCAGCUGCCUUUCUUUUCUUCUUCUUAUUUAUUUCACCAUUACAUACACAUUCCACUGUAACAGGCAUCCUUUGCUGUUGCCAAACCAUUUUCCUUUCUGGUAAUAUCAUCCUUUUUUUUUUUUUUUAAAGUCCAUGUAGUUUGGUUGGAGUCUGCCUUAACCCACCCUGCUUCAGGAGUGUGUGAUCAAGGCCUGGCCAAUUGGAGGCACCCAUAUUGGUGUAGGGAUGGACACUAAAUCCAAUUUGGGCUAUUGAGAUGCAAACCUGGAACUUUUAAAAAGACUUCUGGGAAAGAAGCACACAUUCCCCCAGGGAUGUGUCUAGCUGGCAGAAUGUAAGUCUGGGGCUGCUGGUGGUCAUGUUGAACCAGAGAUGAGUGAGGGAGAGGGAUAAGAACUCAUAUGACAUCAUCUGAGCACCUGGAUCCAGCCAUGACUGAAGACUGAUCUAUCUUGGACUUUUCUAUAAUACAAAUAAAACCCCCAUUUUGUUUAAGCCACUUGUAGUUGAGUUGCUCUAUCUUGCAACUGAAAGAGUCCACACACACACACACACACACACACAUACACAAGCACCCCUUCAAAUGACAUGUGUACUUACAUUUUUUUGCAACUUCCAACUGGACUACUACUCUUUCUUUUAACUUCUGGGGAUUAUCUUCUCAAAAGGAAGAUUUUUGUUUGCUUGUUUGUUUUCGGUGAAAUGCAAUUUCAGUGAAAUGUCACAGAGAAGUCCAGAAGAUCAUCUACUUUAGUCCUGAAUCCUGGGAGAAAAAUUGCCUCUGUCCCUUGCAGUGUGGUAAAAGAUGAAUGAAUUCUCUCACCUAGCUUGCUUUUGAUACGAAGAACAAAAUAAUGUAGUCAUGACUGAGGAAUUUCUUUGCACUCCACGGCUUGUUCUGAUUCCAGGCAUCCUACUCUGUGAGGCCAAAGGGACAUCUGAGUGCCGAGAUUAGUCUAGAUCGAAAGCAUGUGAAAGGCAACAACAACAUCCCUGCCAAACAAAACCAAGUUGAUUUUCAGCAGGCCUCAAGAGAGUGAAAGGGAAGUUUCCCCUUGGUCCCUAUGCUAGCUUUGGCCAAUGGAACAUUAGCAAACAGGCUUGAAAAGUAUCUUGAGGCUCACUCCCUCAGAACCUGGUGACCUCCAGAUGAACAAGCUUGAGAUGGCCUGCCUGAUGAUGAGAGACACAGACACCAGCCAAGCCAUCUGUGUCACCCCAGCUGAUGUCAAGCCAAUGGCCAGACAUCUGCAGGAGGCCCUCCUAGACCAUCUAGCUCCAGAAUCCACAGCAAGUUGCAUUCCUGACUGGAGAUGUCAGGGGGACCUCGUGUGAACUGCCAGCACUGAAUCGUUUCUGAGGUUGGAAGAAAUAGUUGGGAGGCUGCCCUCACCUUCCAGCUUGGAACUGGGCUGAAUGCAGUCCUAUGGCUCACUCCGCAGGCCACCCGCUUGGCUGGGACACAGCUUUGGCAAGCCUUGCUCCUGGCAGGCUGGACUCAUGAGAACCCUGGCAUUUCAGAGCGUGUGUCAGGGCAUGUGGAAGGAGAAUGCAGUGUGGUCACAGGGUAAGCCAAGACCGGGGAGAUGGCCUGCAUGAUAAGAGGGGAAGUGGACCCAAGGGGGUUGGGAGUCAGAAUUUCUGAACCCUGAAAUCAUCUCUGUGAGGCACUGGGGAGUGUCAACUCUGAGGAUGAUGAGGGGAACUGUGGGCCCUACGUUGCCCCCCCAAAGCCAAUGACAAGCAUUUGGCUCAGUGAUAUGAGCUGAUCGAUGAUUCAGCCAACAUCUCCUCCUCCAGGAAGAUUUCUCGGGUUACCCCAUUAGCUUUUCUGCUGGUAACUGCCACUAAGACUCCCACCCCAGGAAGGGAUGAUCUCCGCUAAGUUAUUUCUGCCACUAAAUUCUUCCCAUGAGAUCCUGUCAAAAAUUAUGGAAACUGAAGCUUAAACAAGAGAGGGCUUUUCACCUACUGCUUGAGCUGAGAGUUCCCACCUCCCUGGCAGAAUGCCAUGUGACACAGAACCUUUGAACCCAUGUCUCGAAAAUGGUACCAGAGGCCAUGAACCUCCCUCAGAAUGACAUUUUCCAGGCUUCUUGUCCUCUCAUAGUACAGAUCCAAGUGCCUGUUGGUCCCUAAGAGGGGAGGAAAACUUCCGUCUGCCCAAACUAAGACCCUGUUCUUUUCUUGACCCAUGGGAGUAUUCACGGCCUGUAGGAGAAACCCAUUCAGCAAGUGAUUCACUGGCCCAUUGAUCCAUUGAUCUGCUGAUCUAUUGCUUGCAUGCAAAGCCCCAUUCCACCUGCUGGGCUUGUCCCCCUGCCUCAUAUAAGACACAGCUAAUGCAUUUCUAAAGCCUGGGUUUGCUGGUCUUAAAUGACACCAUAUGGUGGUCACAACAUCCUGGCCCAGGCUAAGUCCUGGUCAUAGUUUUUCCUCUGACAUUAGGAGUGAAAAGUCCAGGCUCUCCGUCCCUCUGCUACGGAUGUCCCCUCAAUCUCCUGUGGGCAAAGAAAGGGCAAGGGCACAAGUACUUCCAAGAAACAAACAAUGAUUUCCAGUUGUGAUGCUGCAUAAAUACAGAUUGAGGAAGGAAAAGGUUCUCUAACUCAGCAAGGAGAUAGUGCUGGGAGUACUCCCAAUUUGCAUAAUAGAUAGAGUACUUCUCAGUCUGCCUUUCAGCUGCUUCAUGAUGUUGGACCCCUCCUCCCCAGUGGUGGGUAAGCACUUUCAUUAGGACUAAGAGGUCUUCCCGAGUGCUCCCUCUCAAAAGCAAUAGAGAGUGUGCCUCACCAACAUAGAGUUUCCUGGAUCAAAAACUUCCUACAAACUGGCAGAUUUUCCAACUUCAAUAAUUUAACACCUGCUAGUACUUGUUACAACUAUGUAUUCUGUGCCAGGCAUGGAGCUGAGUGCUUUACAUAUGGGACCUUGUUUAAUUCUCACAGUCAUCCUGGAAAGUGGCUUCUAUUUUUACUUCUGUUUAACAGAUGAGGAAGCGAAGGUUCAGAGAGGUUAUAUUGUUCAAAGUCCCACAAUGAGUGAGUGAACCAGGAUUCAAACCCUUGUCAGACUCCAAGCCCAUGCUCUUAGCCAUCACACCAUAUGACCUCCAAAAUGGAGCCCCGUCACCAAGUGCAGGAGAACCACACAUCCUGGGAUUUCCAAGUCCCUACACAUUUAAAAUGUCCUGUGGCUUUUUGUCAUAAAAAUACUUGAGCUUGUCAGAUGAGUAUCUUGAUUUGAGGUUUGACAAUAUAUUCACCCAAACUGUUUUCCAAACUCGCUUCAGCAAUGCCUUACGUCAUGGGGCUUUUAAAAGCACAGAUCCAAGCAUCUUGCCCCAAACCUAUUAAAAGUCAGACUCUCCAAGGGAGGAUCCAGGGAAUCUGUAUUUCUAAAACAAAUUCCCAGGAUGAUGCCUAUGACGCCUAUGAGCUACAAUGUGUGAGCAACUGUUUCCAUGCUUGAUGGAGUGAGAGGAAUAAAACCUGCUUAAGAAAUGGUCCUUAAAUUCAAAAAACACAUAUUUCAGUAAGGGGGCAAGAUAGAGUCAAAUACCAAAGUGUGCAACAGCUAAAUAACAAGCUGUAUAGUCCUAACUAUGGAACAAUUCAGAAAAGGGGUAAAUCAUGAACUAGAAAAAUCAGAGAAGGCUGCACAGAAGAGGAGGGACUUGAAGUGGGCUGUGUAAGAUUUGGAGGAGGGAGAAAGAAGAGAGAAGGGUAUUCCAGACAGGAAGAGCACAAAGAGCAAAAGUCUUGAGGGGAGAAUGAGCUUGAUAUUUUUUUAUGAAGCAGGGAGAGGGUCAGCCCACCAAUCUGGGGGAUGGAGAGAGAACGUGCAGGAAGGAAGUUAGCCUAAGCAGGGCAGGUUCUGGCACGAGGUUGGUUUAGGUGUGGGUAGCACAAGGGAGCCACUGUGGGCUCUAGAGCAAGUACUCACAUGAUAAAGGGUGAUUAAGUUAAGGUAGAGCCUGAGAUGGUGACAGGAGAAUUAGCCAGAUCCCUGCUCUCCAGCUCUUUGAAAACAGAUGAGAGACUGCACCAGAGAACACCCAGGAGUGUCCUAAAUCUGGGGGUCCCCUGAGGCCUUAGGGGAGGGAUCCUUUCUUGGCACCCGAUUCUGCAAAAGCUAUCUUCAAGUGAGGUGUUGGGCUGAGAAGGAGGCAUUUGGAGAAUGGGGUUGUGAGGUUGUGCACACCUGUUUCCUAAAUGGAGCAGUGAGUGAGGGAAGGAGACAGUACACACACACACACACACACACACACACACACACACACACCCCAGAGGGGGAGGCUCAGACAAAGCCAGAGAGCAGUGGAAAUUCUGCAUAAGCUAUCUUAAGCAAUUUGAUGUGAGUCUAAAUUAUUUUGGCACCAAAGCAUGAUAGACCAUAUGGAGAGAAAAAAGUGUGCAAAAAGAAAGGUUGAAAAACAUUUUUUUACAAAAUAAAGAAACAAGGGCUCAUACAGAAAGAAACCAAGAGUCUGGCCUGAUGGCCCUGAUAUAUAGCAGAGUUUAGUCAAAUCUUUCUGUAAAAAAGUGAGACAUUCUGAGGAACCAGCUUCACUGGGUUGCAAUAAUUUUAUGUGCCAAAUAAAUGGUCCUAAUUAUAAGAGAGAGAAUUGGUCGAGACUGUUGGUUUGAGGGAACUCAAGUUCAGAGCACUUCAAGACAAAAGGGAAAGGCGCUGGCUCACGUAGUAGAGUAGUCUCGCUUCAGGCACAGCUCAAUCCAGGGCACUCUUGUGAUAUAAUCAGGAUAUUCUUUGCCCAUAUCUCAAAUUUGCUUUCCUCAGUGUGCCCUCACUUCUUGACACUUUUUCCAUGUUGCAGAAAACCUGAUGCUCAUUGUCUCCAGCCAUGGUCCGUCAGAAGGAGAGAAAUCCUCCCUCUCCCAAAGCCCAUUUUGUUCCUUUGCCCACUCUUGGACCCAUCACUGUGUCAGGUAAAUGGGGUACUCGGGUUGGCCAACCUGAGUUUUAUGGCUCCUCAGGUGGUGGGAAGGCAGUUCCCCUUGAUUGACAGCCCAUCAGAUUUCCAAAGUGUUGGGAGGAAGAAAAGUCUCCAAGAGGAAAAAAUGUGGCACAGAAAAGAGAGUUAGAUAUUGGUGAUAGUGCUACAGGAGUUCAGUGUCCAGAGAAAUGCUCUCUAAGGAGAAUAGUCAUGGAAGACUUCCCCAGGGAAGUGUGAUAUGUGUUCAGCCUCAAAGGGCAAAGAGAACUUGGGUCUUGGGAGGAGACAAUGUGGUGUUACAGCAAAACGCAUGGCUUGGGCAAAGACACUGCAGGAGUCCUUGCUCCUAAAAGAUUUCCACCAAUCUCUGGUUAUAUUCAAAUGUCAAUUUCCUCUCACUGUCCCUUUGUGUGCUUAAUUAAUGGUGGUAUUGAGGCUGAAGAGAGCAGCAUUGGGGGUUCUGUCUGUACUUAAGAGGCAAGAUCACUUAGGCAUGGUGGCUCACUCCUGUAAUCCCAGAACUUUGGAAAGCUGAGGUGAGAGGAUCACUUGAGGUCAGAGUUUGAGACCAGCCUGGGCAACAUUAACUGUGUUGACCCCAUCUCUACGAAUACAUAUAUGUGUGUGUAUAUAUAUAUAUACAUAUAUACAUAUAAAUACACACAUACAGACAGACACACACACACACACACACACACAUAUAUAUAUAUAUAUAUAUAUAUUUAAAUUAGCUGGGUAUGGUGACUCUUACCUAGUCCCAGCUAUUCAGGAGGCUGAGGUUGGAGGAUCUCUUGAGCCCAGGAAUUGGAGACUGCAGUGAGCUAUGAUCAUGCCACUACGGUCUAGCUUGAUGACAGACCAAGACCCUGUCUCAAAAAAAGAAAAAAAAAGACAGGAUCACUUAUUUCUCUUAGGUCAUGAAAUAAAAGGGAACCAGUCCCAAAAAAUGCUGGGCAAAAUGAGAGGCUGUCCUCAUUUCCCAAUGCACAGAAGACUCUACACUCCUGGAAACCACUAACCAUGUUGGACACAGCCAAGUUCAAUGUGAUCACUUCCCUUCAAGGGUCCUACAUCAGUGCCUUGGGUGGCAGUCACAUUUGUCCUCUAAGUGAUCCCAUUUAUAUCAAUCAAAAGCUACUUCCCUCAUUUCCCACUCACUCAGCUGGGGCUUGGUGAAGAGUCUCUGUCCCCAGCUGUGGGGGUUCUGGGUGGUCUUGCAAAAGGAGAGGCUGAUCCAGUCUUGUUGGUCCUGGCUCACAUGCACUCACUCAUUCACUGAUUACUUAUUGAGACUUUGUCAUAUGUAAGGCACAGUGCUAAGCCUAGGUGCUGAAGAGACAAUUCAACAUAGUCUUUGCCCUUAAUGAGCUGUUUACUGGGGAGAGAGAUGUGUGGUAGAUAAAAAACACGUUUGCUACUGAAGAUCCCCACCUAUUUGGAGAUAAUUGUUCCUUCCUUGCCUCAUUCAUCUGUUUUACCAAAGACUGUUAAUCACAGAUCCUAUCUCUCUCUGCACCACAAUCGUUGGCUCAGGCACAGGCAAAUGAAGCAAUCUGAUUAAAAAAAAAAAGAGAGAGAGAGAGAGAGAGAACAUCUUUAUUGGGAUUUUUCAAGCUUUAGUCUGCAGGUGCCAUGUUCUUUUCUUGUUUUUCAUGAUGAUUGGAGGAUGUGACAUGUAAUGGUAUGAUGAGAUAUUUUUCAAUUAAAAUUCUGAAUUUAGAGCAUAUAAAAACAUAACCAUUUUUAAAAUGUUGAUUUUGCAUCCAGCAAUCUUGUUUAACUCACAUAUUCAUUUGAAUAAUCUGACAGUGAAUAUUCCUGGGGUUUGGGAGGAGGGAUUUCUAUGCAGAUAAUUGUAUUGCCUGCAUAUAAAAAGUCUCACCUCUUCUCUUCCAAGUAUUAAGCUGCUUAUUUAUUUUCCAGCUUUGCCUUAGACAGGAACUCCAGUACUGAAUAGUUGGCUGAGAGUGGGCAUCCUUGUCUUGUUUCUGAUUUUAAUGCAAAUGAUUCACAGGUUGCACAAUUAAUAUAGUGCAGUCAUAAAAAAGAAAAUCUUCAAGAUGUAUGAACUGAAAUUUGUAUGUAUUUCUUAUAACAUUUUUAUACCAAUGGUAGCAUACUGCACACAUUGUUUUGCACAUUACUAAGCCUAUACAUAUAUGCUUGCAUACGGUUUGAAUAUCUGUGGAUGAAUACAAACGAAACUGGAAACAUAAGCAAUUUCCAGGGAAGGAACUGGGUAGGUGGAGUGUGUGUAUGUGGCGGGUAGUAGGGGUUAUAUUUACCUCAAAGUAUCACUUUAGCUGUAUACUUGUUUGAUAUGUAAUCAUUUGAAUGCUCUUCAGUUCAAAAUAUUUUCUGUUUCAUUAUGAUUUCCCUUCUAACCCAUCUGUUGUUUAGAGUGCAUUUUUUAGUUUCCAAACUUUUGGAAGUUUGACAUUCAAUUUAAUUGCAAUGUGAACAGAGAAUGUAGACCUUAUUAUUUUAUCUCUUUGAAAAUAUUGUGAUCUAACAUAUGAUCACUUUUUAAGUGUUCCACAUGUAUCUGAAAAUAAUGUGUAUUCUUCAUUUAAUGGAUACAGCAUUUUAUAUAGAUUUUAAAGUGUUUAAUGUUUUUGUUUAAAUUUAAAUUCUAAAUAUUUUUGUCAGCUUUAUAUAACAUUUUUAAAAGAUCAGUUAAAAUUUUCCAUUAUAACAAUUUUUUCCCAUUUUUUCUAGUAAUUUAGUCAGUUUUGCUUUUUAUAUUUUGAGGUUACAUUGGUAAGGCCAUGUAAGUUUAUUACUACUAUACAUUCUUAGAAAGUCAUUUCUUUUAAUGUUCUAUAUCAUCCCUUUGUUGCUAUUACUUUUUUUACAUUAAACUUUAUUUUGU